rnacentral:rRNA from 1 species
CGGGUGAGUAACACGUGGAUAACCUACCUAUACGACUGGGAUAACUUCGGGAAACCGGAGCUAAUACCGGAUAAUAUUUUGAACCGCAUGGUUCAAAAGUGAAAGACGGUCUUGCUGUCACUUAUAGAUGGAUCCGCGCUGCAUUAGCUAGUUGGUAAGGUAACGGCUUACCAAGGCAACGAUGCAUAGCCGACCUGAGAGGGUGAUCGGCCACACUGGAACUGAGACACGGUCCAG